rnacentral:rRNA from 1 species
AUACGGAGGGGGUUAGCGUUGUUCGGAAUUACUGGGCGUAAAGCGCACGUAGGCGGACUGGAAAGUUGGGGGUGAAAUCCCGGGGCUCAUCCCCGGAACUGCCUCCAAAACUUCCAAUCUAGAGAUCGAGAGAGGUGAGUGGAAUUCCAAGUGUAGAGGUGAAAUUCGUAGAUAUUUGGAGGAACACCAGUGGCGAAGGCGGCUCACUGGCUCGAUACUGACGCUGAGGUGCGAAAGCGUGGGGAGCAAACAGGAUUAGAAACCCUAGUAGUCC